CCCAGCCCUCAGCAGAGUUGGCCCUGCCCGUUUCUCUGCCUGGAGAUGCAGCCGGCUUGCUGAGCAUGUGGCCGCCCCAGAGAAAGACUGCAUUUCCCAGCAUCCUUCACAGCCAUCUGGACCAGGAAUGGGGGAGCACCUGGCGGAAGGAGCCUGGGUUCCUGAAG